GUUGACCUCGGAUCAGGUAGGAAUACCCGCUGAACUUAAGCAUAUCAAUAAGCG
rnacentral:rRNA from 4 species